rnacentral:rRNA from 1 species
GACGAACGCUGGCGGCGUGCCUAAUACAUGCAAGUCGAGCGCAGGAAACUGACGGAACUCUUCGGAGGGAAGGCAGUGGAAUGAGCGGCGGACGGGUGAGUAACACGUAAGGAACCUGCCUCAAGGAUUGGGAUAACUCCGGGAAAUCGGAGCUAACACCGGAUAGUUCAACGGACCGCAUGGUCCGCUGAUGAAAGGCGCUUCGGCGUCACCUUGAGAUGGCCUUGCGGUGCAUUAGCUAGUUGGUGGGGUAACGGCCCACCAAGGCGACGAUGCAUAGCCGACCUGAGAGGGUGAUCGGCCACACUGGGACUGAGACACGGCCCAGACUCCUACGGGAGGCAGCAGUAGGGAAUCUUCCACAAUGGACGAAAGUCUGAUGGAGCAACGCCGCGUGAGUGAUGAAGGUUUUCGGAUCGUAAAACUCUGUUGUAAGGGAAGAACACGUACGAGAGGAAAUGCUCGUGCCUUGACGGUACCUUACGAGAAAGCCACGGCUAACUACGUGCCAGCCGCCGCAGUAAUAC